GGCGGUGGUAACUCAAUGGUAGAGUAACGGCCUUCCAAGCCGUUGGUUGCGGGUUCAAGUCCCGUCCGCCGCUU
rnacentral:tRNA from 1 species